CUUUAGUUUCUAUAAACUAUGAAGCAGUGCAAAUGCAAGAUAAUUUCCGCCUCAUUGAGUGCUGUCAUUGUAUCCAUUUUGCUGUGCGAUUGGUUUCUCAGUAAGCGUAAUUAUUACAAACAAAAAUAUAUUUUUUACAAACAAAAAAUGCAUUUUGUACUUAUAUUUUCUUAAUAUAUUUUUAAUUUUAUUUAAUUUCACAAAGAAGCUUCAGCGAUUUCCGACAGCACACCCCUAAAGCAGCAUUGCCUUAGACCACAGAACGAUGGCGCAAACUGUCACAUGCCGCGCUGGUAUUUUAAUACAUUAACGGAAAAUUGCGAACGGAAUUUGACUUGCAACGUGGAUUCCUUCGAAACAUAUCUCAAGUGCAUGCAAAACUGUGCACUGUGAUCGCAAAGAGGCAUAAAUAAAUUUGAAGCAUCUACGAUGUGUUAUUCGGGAAUAGCAUUAAGGAAAAUCUUUUGCUGGGAGAAUUUUGAAUGAUUUUAUUCCAAAUCCCAAAUGGGAGCAAGGUGCAAUCAAUAGUAAAGAAUUCUUCGCAUAUUUUCUGAUGCAUUAUCCAUCAAAUCAAGGCCAUGAAGGCCAUGAACAUUUUUCGCCUCGGUUUGAUACGUUAGAAAAACCUACGAAAAAAAAAAACAAAAAGUUGUGAAACGAACGAAAUAACCUUUGCCGCAACGCGACGGGUGGGCGUGUCUGUUAUAUGUACAUAUACUGAUGCGGGUGCGGAUGCGGAUGUGUGUGUGUGUGAGGGAAAAGUUAUUGUUGGUAAUAUCAACACUAAAAGUGUUUAUGAUAUGAAAAAUGUUGACAGCAACUGCAGAAUAGAAAUGCUCAGACUGAGCCCCACAGACAGAGAAGGAGAGAACAGUCUAGGGGUUAUAUAGAACCGUUAUUCACUCAUGUGUGUGUUUAUCUGUUUGUGUGUGUGUGCUGUAUAUACGUAUGUAGUUUUUAUCGCUGUUGCUGACUUUGAUGAAAAAUAUGAUAAUGUCCUUUAUGCGAAUGCGUUGCAGUAAAAAUAAUGAUAACACACAGAGAUACUCGUACAUUCCCGCCUCGCGGUGUCAUUCACCCGAACCCUUCCCAAUAAAUGCUUUUGACUCCAUCCUUUUCCUUUUCGUUGUUUUUGUUGUCUUUUUUUUUGGCAACAUUUUUCAUGACUUUUCUGAGCUUCCGCUGAUUUUAUUGGCUGCUCGUCUCUGGCUUGCCUGCAGGGUUCAACAUUUAUAUAUUCUCUCAAGAAUUCCUUGUCCUCUCCCAUUCCCACUCUG
rnacentral:lncRNA from 1 species